rnacentral:rRNA from 1 species
GUAGUUAUGCAAGUUGGUAGGGGAGCAUUCUAUUAUAGGGAGAAGCAUGACCGGAAGGACAUGUGGACGAGAUAGAAGAGAGAAUGCCGGAAUGAGUAGCGAGAAUUAUGUGAGAAUCAUAAUGGUCGAAAACCUAAGGUUUCUUGAGGAAGGUUCGUCCGCUCAAGGUAAGCCGGGAGCUAGGGCGAGGCCGAAAGGCGUAGUCGAUGCACAUACGGUAGAAAUCCCGUAGCCACCGAAAUUGUUAAGCACAGGGACGCAGGAACAUAAUCCAACCGCACCGAUGGUCGAGUGCGGCGAAAGGGAGCGAAAAUUAAGUAGCGAAGUGGAUGAUUGUACACUGACGAGAAAAGCUGUGUGGAUUGAUGAGGUGCCCGUACCGUAAACCGACACAGGUGGGUGAGGAGAGAAUCCUAAGACCAGCGGGAGAAGUGUUGUUAAGGAACUCGGCAAAUUGACCCCGUAACUUCGGGAAAAGGGGUGCCUGCUAGCGCAGGCCGCAGAGAAUAGGCCCAAGCGACUGUUUAGCAAAAACACAGGUCUCUGCUAAAUCGAAAGAUGAAGUAUAGGGGCUGACGCCUGCCCGGUGCCGGAAGGUUAAGAGGAGGACUUAGCGCAAGCGAAGGUCUGAAUUGAAGCCCCGGUAAACGGCGGCCGUAACUAUAACGGUCCUAAGGUAGCGAAAUUCCUUGUCAGGUAAGUUCUGACCCGCACGAAUGGCGUAACGAUUUGGGCACUGUCUCAACAACACACCCGGUGAAAUUGUAGUACCGGUGAAGAUGCCGGUUACCCGCGACUAGACGGAAAGACCCCAUGGAGCUUUACUGUAACUUGAUAUUGGAUUUUGGUAUUGCAUGUACAGGAUAGGUGGGAGACUGAGAAGCACAGACGCCAGUUUGUGUGGAGUCAAUGUUGGGAUACCACUCUUGUGAUACUGGAAUUCUAACCUGCGGCCGUGAAACCGGUCGGGGGACAAUGUCUGGUGGACAGUUUGACUGGGGCGGUCGCCUCCUAAAGAGUAACGGAGGCGUUCAAAGGUUAGCUCAGUACGGUCAGAAAUCGUACGAAGAGUGCAAACGCAAAAGCAAGCCUAACUGCGAGACGAACAGGUCGGGCAGUAACGAAAGUUGGAGUUAGUGAUCCGGCGGUAAGAGAGUGGAAUUGCCGUCGCUCAACGGAUAAAAGCUACCCUGGGGAUAACAGGCUGAUCUCCCCCAAGAGUCCAUAUCGACGGGGAGGUUUGGCACCUCGAUGUCGGCUCAUCGCAUCCUGGAGCUGGAGUCGGUUCCAAGGGUUGGGCUGUUCGCCCAUUAAAGCGGUACGCGAGCUGGGUUCAGAACGUCGCGAGACAGUUCGGUCCCUAUCUGUCGCGGGCGCAGGAAAUUUGAAGGGAGCUGUCCUUAGUACGAGAGGACCGGGAUGGACGUACCACUGGUGUACCAGUUGUCUUGCCAAAGGCACGGCUGGGUAGCUAAGUACGGAGGGAAUAAACGCUGAAGGCAUCUAAGCGUGAAGUCCCCCCUAAGAUAAGAUUUCCCAUUCUUUAAAAGAAGUAAGACCCCACGUAGACUAUGUGGUUGAUAGGUCGGAGGUGUAAGUGUGGUAACACAUUAAGCUGACCGAUACUAAUAGGUCGAGGGCUUGAUC